UACGUAGGGUGCAGGCGUUAAUCGGAAUUACUGGGCGUAAAGCGUGCACAGGCGGUCUUUUAAGUCAGAUGUGAAAUCCCCGGGCUUAACCUGGGAACUGCGUUUGAAACUGGAAGGCUAGAGUGUGGCAGAGGGGGGUGGAAUUCCACGUGUAGCAGUGAAAUGCGUAGAUAUGUGGAGGAACACCGAUGGCGAAGGCAGCCCCCUGGGCUAACACUGACGCUCAUGCACGAAAGCGUGGGGAGCAAACAGG
rnacentral:rRNA from 1 species